AGGGUUCGAUUCUGGCUCAGGAUGAACGCUGGCGGCGUGCUUAACACAUGCAAGUCGAACGGGAUCCAUCAGGCUUUGCUUGGUGGUGAGAGUGGCGAACGGGUGAGUAAUGCGUGACCGACCUGCCCCAUGCACCGGAAUAGCUCCUGGAAACGGGUGGUAAUGCCGGAUGCUCCAUCACAUCGCAUGGUGUGUUGGGAAAGCCUUUGCGGCAUGGGAUGGGGUCGCGUCCUAUCAGCUUGAUGGCGGGGUAACGGCCCACCAUGGCUUCGACGGGUAGCCGGCCUGAGAGGGCGACCGGCCACAUUGGGACUGAGAUACGGCCCAGACUCCUACGGGAGGCAGCAGUGGGGAAUAUUGCACAAUGGGCGCAAGCCUGAUGCAGCGACGCCGCGUGAGGGAUGGAGGCCUUCGGGUUGUAAACCUCUUUUGUUAGGGAGCAAGGCACUUUGUGUUGAGUGUACCUUUCGAAUAAGCACCGGCUAACUACGUGCCAGCAGCCGCGGUAAUACGUAGGGUGCAAGCGUUAUCCGGAAUUAUUGGGCGUAAAGGGCUCGUAGGCGGUUCGUCGCGUCCGGUGUGAAAGUCCAUCGCUUAACGGUGGAUCCGCGCCGGGUACGGGCGGGCUUGAGUGCGGUAGGGGAGACUGGAAUUCCCGGUGUAACGGUGGAAUGUGUAGAUAUCGGGAAGAACACCAAUGGCGAAGGCAGGUCUCUGGGCCGUUACUGACGCUGAGGAGCGAAAGCGUGGGGAGCGAACAGGAUUAGAUACCCUGGUAGUCCACGCCGUAAACGGUGGAUGCUGGAUGUGGGGCCCGUUCCACGGGUUCCGUGUCGGAGCUAACGCG
rnacentral:rRNA from 1 species